AACAUUACCAAAUAUUGUUGUCAAACCUAAGACUUCAAUCUUGGGUGUUUGGAAGGCCAUCAAGAGAGCCAUGGCAUCAUCGAUUCCGGGAUCCGUGUCGAUGAUGACCUUCUCGAGAAGCUGAUGGAUUCCGCCGUUCUCCAUUGCAGGGAGAGCAGGACGAGAGACCGAGGCCGAGUUCGACGUCUUCGCCCUGUAGUUCGUCCCCGUCGGCCCCGAGCCAAGGCCGAGAGGAACCGUUUCGUUGAUUGGGACGAGGAGGAAAGGCCGAGGCCGAGUUCGACGCCUCCGAU
rnacentral:misc_RNA from 1 species